GCUCAAGCCUCCCUGAGGUGGCCCCGUGUCCCUCUGUCGGUCAAAGGCAGCUCGCGCACACUUGCCCAUCCCUCAGCUCCCGGAGUGCAGCUCAGAUUGGCAGGACAGCGAGGACACCGCCCCUCACCCCGUUCGGGAACCCCCUCAUGGCCGGUGGGUGAGGCCCUGCCUGGGCGGGUUGGCCACAAGAACCAGAGUGGAUAAAAGCAAAGGAAUGUGUUCGCCUCGUGUCGCGGCCCUGCCAUCUGGACAGAAUCUUCUUGUCUGAAAAGAGUUCCUGGACUUCCUACAAAAUUGUUAUGCACCUUCACUCCAGAGGUUCAGCUCAUUAUUCUUGUUAAGAGAAGCAAAGGAUCUACAACAGAAGAAAAGCCUGCUGACAUCAAAUCUUCAUCGUUUUUUCCAGGAUUCACACCACAUAGAGGAAAGCCUCUGCUUGGUUCAUGAGGUCUAAGGCUAUGCAAGUUGUGACUGAUUUCCAGAGGCAUUAGAAGCUAAAGCACAGCUGUGAAGAGUGCCAGGAAAGGUCAGUAAAAUAGCUCUGCAUUUCUCAGCAGUGAGUCUCUGGGGAAAUGGGGAGAUUCUCUUGGGCAAAGCCCAAAGCAUCCUGGCCUGCAAUGCCCUGAGGCAGGGAAACAAGUGUAAAAGCCAGUUUGGCUGUGUGUUCUUCCACCUCCUCCUGCCAAAGGUGUUCAGCUGUCCCAUCUGAAUAUCACCAAAAAGAUUAGGUCACAUAGCUGAAAUCUCAGGUUCUAGUUUUCCUAAAUAAAGAUUUGUUACACCUGUUUGCUUUGGGGUUUUUUUUUGUU